rnacentral:rRNA from 1 species
UAUCUAUGGCCCAUUAUUGGAUUUGGGUUAGUGCCGUGAGGGGGUGUGGUAGGUAAAUCCGCCACACAAUACUCCAAGCGGAAAAACAAUGUCUCUUUACGGAGGGGCAGAGCAUAGAGAGCACGGUUCCAAGAAAAACUUCUAGGCUUCAGCGUAUAACGACCGUACCGGAAACCGACACAGGUGUUCAGGUCGAGUAGACUAAGACGAACGAGUGAGAGGUCCUCAAGGAACUCGGCAAAAAAGCGGCCGUAAGUUAGCGAUAAGGCCUGCCUCCCGCAAGGGAGGCCGCAGCGAAAGAUUUUCUGCCAACUGUUUACCAAAAACACAGCUCCCUGCGAACUCGUAAGAGGAAGUAUAGGGGGUGACGCCUGACCAAUGCCGGAAGGUCAAGCAGGGACGGUACAUUGAUUUCGAUUGAUGUGCUAGGCCCUAUAAGCCCCGGUGAAUGUCGGCGAUAACUAUAAUCGUCCUAAGGUAGCGUAAUUCCUUGUCUGGUAAGUUCAGACGUGCACGAAUGGCGUAAUGAGUGGAAAACUGUCUCGAGGACUUACUCGGUGAAAAUGCAAUACCGGUGAAGAUGCCGGUUACCUGUAGUUAGACGAAAAGACCCCAGGAGCUUUACUACAGCUUGGUAUUGGGGUUGUGUGUUGUAUGCGUAGCAUAGGUGGGAGACUUUGAAGCAUUCCUCUUGGGGAGUGUGGAGUCGCCAGUGAAAUACCACCCUUACAAUGUGCAACUUCUAACCCGCGUAAGAACUACGUGGGAACAGUGCCUGGCGGGUAGUUUUGGUGGGGCGCUAUCCUCCUAAAAAGUAACGGAGGAGUCUAUUAAGGUUGGCUAGGCGCGAAUGGAAACCGUGCCGAUAGUGUAAUGGCACAAGCCAGCUUAACUGUAAGGGGUACAUCCCGCACAGAUGCGAAAGCAGAGCAUAGUGAACCGAUGGUCCGCCUUAGAUGCGGCCAGAGAUUAACGGAUAUAAGUUACCCUGGGGAUAACAGGCUAGUUCCGCCCAAGCGUCCAUAGCGACGGCGGAGUUCGGCACCUCGAUGUCGGCUCACCUUAGCGCGGGGCUGGAGAAGGUCCCAAGCGUAUGGCUGUUCGCCAUUUAAAAAGGUACGCGAGCUGGGUUCAAACCGUCGUGAGACAGGUUGGUCUCCUAUCUACUACAGGCGUUGAUUCUUGAUGAGAUUUGCCCCUAGUACGAGAGGACCGGGGUGAACUGACCUCUGGUCUACGAGCUGUCACGCCAGUGGCAUCGCUCGGUAGCUAUGUCGGGAACUGAUAACUGCUGAAAGCAUAUAAGCGGGAAGCAAACUCAAAGAUUAGGAAUCGUUAUGAGGCUCCAGGAAGACUACCUGGUUGAUAGGCCUUAGAUGGAAGCGCAGCAAUGCGUUGAGUCGAGAAGUACUAAUAUGCCCAGACUUCUGUG